AACGAACGCUGGCGGCAUGCCUAACACAUGCAAGUCGAACGAGACCUUCGGGUCUAGUGGCGCACGGGUGCGUAACGCGUGGGAACCUGCCCUUAGGUUCGGCAUAACUCCCCGAAAGGGGUGCUAAUACCGGAUAAUGUCUUCGGACCAAGGAUUUAUCGCCUUUGGUUGGGCCCGCGUUGGAUUAGCUAGUUGGUAGGGUAAAAGCAUACUAAGGCGACGAUCCAUAGCUGGUCUGAGAGGAUGAUCAGCCACACUGGGACUGAGACACGGCCCAGACUCCUACGGGAGGCAGCAGUGGGGAAUAUUGGACAAUGGGCGAAAGCCUGAUCCAGCAAUGACGCGUGAGUGAUGAAGGCCUUAGGGUUGUAAAGCGCUUUUAACCGGGAUGAUAAUGACAGUACCGGGAGAAUAAGCUACGGCUAACUCCGUG
rnacentral:rRNA from 1 species